UACGGCCACAUCACUUUGAAACACCGGUUCACAUACGAUCACCGAAGUUAAGCAACGUUGGACAUGGUCAGUACCUAGAUGAGUAACCACUUGGGCAUAUCAGGGGCUGUAA